CGGCCACAGCCCAAAACUCAAAGGACUUGGCGGUGCUUUAUACCCUUCUAGAGGAGCCUGUUCUAUAAUCGAUAAACCCCGAUAAACCUCACCAAUCCUUGCUAAUACAGUCUAUAUACCGCCAUCUUCAGCGAACCCUAAAAAGGAAUAAAAGUAAGCGCAACCACAACACAUAAAAACGUUAGGUCAAGGUGUAACCCAUGGAGUGGGAAGAAAUGGGCUACAUUUUCUGUCUUAAGAA
rnacentral:rRNA from 1 species